GCAAAGGUAGCAUAAUAAUUAGUCUUUUAAUUGAAGGCUUGUAUGAAUGAUUGGACGAGAUAUAAGCUGUCUCAAAUAAAUUGUUAGAACUUUAUUUUUCAGUAAAAAAGCUGAAAUAAAUUUAAAAGACGAGAAGACCCUAUAGAUCUUUAUAUUAACUGUUAUUUAUUUUUAUAGGAUUAAUUAUAAUUAAUUAUUAGUUAAUAUUUUAUUGGGGUGAUAUUGAAAUUUAAUAAACUUUCAAUUAGAUUAUAACAUUAAUCUAUGAAUUAUUGAUCCAUUAUUAUUGAUUAAAAAAUUUAAGUUACCUUAGGGAUAACAGCGUAAUUAUUUUGGAGAGUUCAUAUCGAUAAAAUAGAUUGCGACCUCGAUGUUGGAUUAAGAUUAAUUCUAGGCGCAGCAGCUUA
rnacentral:rRNA from 1 species